CUGAAAUAGCUAUUCAUGAAUAACGGCCUUUGUGGACACUUCUAUUCUGAAAUAAGAAGGAUUUUUCCCAAAUUUUCCAGUCCGCUUUCGAGUUCUGUCUGGAGUCUCUGCUGGUGGGUCUGGGGAUGUGUCUGCACUGGCGGUAGGUAUCUGGCCACAGGUAUGCUGUGUAAAGUGACCAGGCUGGAUGUGGUGGCAGGCCCCAUGAGAGAACGUUUGGGCUGUAGUACAUCAUGUUUGCUGUGGCCCCAUCCCCUCUCAUUUCACUUUAUUUACACAGAUGCUACAACAUUUGGAGGAUCCUGGGAGCUUGAGGCCCUGGUACAACUGUUCCCCCUUCCCUUCUGUCAGCACUGUGUGGCAGUGAUGGAGGAGGUUGAGUUCCAUAUUCUAGCAACAAUACAAACCAAGACAUGAGUUUUAAGGUGGUAACUUCACUAUCCAGAUCUGAAACUCAAAGUGAAACUUGGAUGGGGGCAAAGUCUAUGGGAAGUGAACAGGAGAAAAAUGAAUCACAUGGAAUCUGGCAAACCAAAAUGAAUUUCACAGAUCUCAUUCAAGACCUAUGGUGACAUCUGAGCACUACUGAAGUCAAAAGGAAGUCUGCCAUUGAUUUCACUAGAGCCAGGAUUUCACCCUCAAACCUAAACCUUAUGGGCAAUUCUAUUCUCAAACGGAUGCAAGUCCCACUGAUUUCAUCUGAUUUGGCCUUAGAGUAAUAAAUCUGCAUUAUUGUAUGUGGUUAUAGUCACCAAAGGAUGAGAACCACAAUGGAAACAGUUGGAUCACAAAGAACUUCUUGAUACUUGGAGUGCUGAAUUGUUGACUGCUGCGUUGCUCGGCAGUCCAUCAAAAUGAAUGACAAACCACAACACCCCCUCUCCUGCCCACUGUACUCUAAAGUAUUCCUGUGGCACAGAGGCUUUGGACAGCCUGUCAAGAUUUUUCUUUACAUGUGUUUAUUUUUGAGACUGUGGGAUCCUAACACUGCGGUGAGGAUCAGAGGCCUGGCUUACAGACACUGUAAACUAAGUAUAAGAUAUGGUCUAUAUCAGCUUUUGGAUUUCUUUCUUUAAAUCUUUAUGGAAGUACAGCUUUAAAUCACAAUUGAUGUGAGAUCACCGGUAAACAGAACUUGAAGCACUGUUGGGCUUUACAUGUGAAAAUAUAUAUAAAAAGGUGUGUGUGAACACCAAAGGAAGGCAUGAAAACCUUUAAUAUCUUCAGUUUUCAUAUAUAACAACCAUCUGUCUAUCUAAGGUUCUUAUAUGGUCCCCAUUAUCACAGUACCUGAGUGCCUUACAAUCUGUAAUGUAUUUCUCAUCAAAACAUCCCUGUGACGAUGGUAAGUACUAUGUGUGAUGCUGGCAGACCAGGUGCAAGCUCUUGCCAAGUCUGUAGGUGUCAGCUGAGCACAGACAAAUUCAUAGCUGGAAACCAGACCAGCUCACCUGUAUGUUAGUAUUGUUCGAGAUAGGUGUUAGACUUGUAAGGAUAUGUUUAGUGCUUAGACGCUAUAAAAUGCUUGUAAGUUGCUGCAUGCAUUAUUCUUACUUGUUAUGUUUGUAUCCCGCGCUGUAAGGUAAUAUGAAAGUUUUGCUUUAGAAUUGUAAAAAUGCCUGCUCUGAGCUUGUGAACUCAGACAGAAGGAGUGGUUCCCCCCACCCAUCAAGAAGGACUAUCAAAACUAAAUGGGCCUUUGUAAGACAAAAACUUUGUUGAUUGCCCCAUCCAGCCAUGAAGAAAUUACGUAUGCUCCUGCUCAUCCCACCGAUCUGAACUCUGGGGGAAGGGCUUAUAAAGAUGUUCACAAGAACAAAUAGUUAUAUCUUUGCUGUUUGGACUCACAAGGGCUGGAGCUAAGAAACUAAAGCAGAGAUCCCCAAGGUCAAGCUGGGGUUAGCCCUAAAAGACAUUCAGUGGAGAGAUUAAUACAUCUCUGUCACCUUUUGGAACCAUAGACUGUAACUCGUUUGUACUUAUAUGUUGCCUGCUUUCACCUGUAAAUAACUCAUUUCUUUAUCCUAAUUAAUAAAUCCUUAGUUAGUUUACUUUGGGAUUGGCUACCAGCAUUGUUUUCGGUGUGAGAUCUAAGGUACAAAUUGAUCUAGGGUGAGUGAUAGGUCUCUUUGGACUGGAAGCAACCUCAAUAUUUUGUGAUUUUUGGUGUAAGUGGCCAUUCAUCACUAAGUCCAGCUUGCCUGGGUGGCCAGAUAGACUGGAGUGCCCAAGGUGUCUGUCUAUGACU